CCCGCCCCACCUUCCCAGGAAAGCACAGAGGACAGGAGUCAGGAGCCCUCCGUAUCUGUCACCAGGGAGCGGGCGUGAAGAGCAGGUAGGAGAGACGUUCUCCAAAACAGCCCCCUUGUUCUGCGGGGAGGAGGUGGUGAAGGAGUUCCCUGAAUCAGAAGUGUUGCCACAGUUGAGGUCCCGACUCUUGCUCAGACCCCCACCGGGGCUCCCCUUCUCCUGGCCCCGGGACCUGGCUGAGCUGGUUUGCGUGGAGGGCGGCGAGGACGUGUCAUGGCCCGAGUCGUACUCCUGCGAGCGCCCUCGGGAGGAGGCGGUGAGCGGGCUGGCUGAUUUGCUAAAGAGGUCAGCCGCAGA